GACGAACGCUGGCGGCGUGCUUAACACAUGCAAGUCGAACGGAAAGGCCCUGCUUUUGUGGGGUGCUCGAGAGGCGAAGGGGUGAGUAAAACGUGAGUAACCUGCCCUUGACUUUGGGAUAACUUCAGGAAACAGGGGCUAAUACAGGAUAGGAGAUCCUGCUGCAUGGGGGGGGAUGGAAAGAUUCGGCGGUGGGGGAUGGACUCGCGGCUUAUCAGCUUGUUGGUGGGGUAGGGGCGUAACAAGGCUUUGACGGGUAGCCGGCCUGGGAGGGUGACCGGCCGCAUUGGGCCUGUGAUACGGCCCAGACUCCUACGGGAGGCAGCAGUGGCGAAUAUUGCACAAUGGGCGGACGCCUGAUGCAGCAACGCCGCGUGCGGGAUGACGGCCUUCGUGUUGUAAACCGCUUUCGCCUGUGACGAAGCGUGAGUGACGGUAAUGGGUAAAGAAGCACCGGCUAACUACGUG
rnacentral:rRNA from 1 species